rnacentral:tRNA from 1 species
CUCUCAUUAUCAAUGUCCACACACUCGGCAGAAUGUUGUCUGCAGAAUUACCUUGCGGCACGCGCCCUCGAUGAACGCUAUCUGCAGCCGGACAAUGAUUAGAAAGACCAGCUUGCUUCGUAAGAUCGUUCCGAUAGCGAGGCGGUCAAGCUUCGCUAAAAGGAUCAUUUACAACUCGCUUGUCUCUCCAGAAGCAGCCUUGUGAGCUGCCCUUGAAAGACGCACGAGCGCCGAAAUGAUCCGGAGAUAAUGAAGUCUCGCGUAGCAAUUGCUUGCUGCACGAUCCAACUCGGAUCGAUCUCCUCUUUACGAUGUCAGAAAUCACGCAACUUGCUGUCUAUCCAGACUAGCAAGAUGCGAAGUGAUGUUUCGCGGACGAUUUAGGUGCACGAUCAGUCGAUGAUCAAACCAUCUGGUGGAGCCAGACGGGAUCGAACCGACGACCUCAUGCUUGCAAAGCACGCGCUCUCCCAGCUGAGCUAUGGCCCCGUAACCAGAAGACGAAUGCUCACUCGAUGAAAGUGGUGGGCCUGGGAAGACUUGAACUUCCGACCUCACGCUUAUCAAGCGCGCGCUCUAACCAACUGAGCUACAAGCCCCUAACGCAUAUCCAGUCAAGGACCAGGGACUCUGCAAACUUGCAGCCCCAGCGCGUGUUCGUCCGCGAAGAAAGAGAAACGAAGACGGCGAAAUCCCGCCAAUGCAGCUCAACAAUCCUGACGAUUGUUGGCCACUGAUGUUUCUAAAACGAUCCGAUAGUGAGCCGAAGCUCGCUGAAGGAUCAUCCUUA